rnacentral:rRNA from 1 species
UACGUAGGGUGCAAGCGUUAAUCGGAAUUACUGGGCGUAAAGCGUGCGCAGGCGGUUAUGCAAGACAGAUGUGAAAUCCCCGGGCUCAACCUGGGAACUGCAUUUGUGACUGCAUGGCUGGAGUGCGGCAGAGGGGGAUGGAAUUCCGCGUGUAGCAGUGAAAUGCGUAGAUAUGCGGAGGAAUACCGAUGCGAAGGCAGCCUCCUGGGCCAACACUGACGCUCAUGCACGAAAGCGUGGGGAGCAAACAGG